rnacentral:rRNA from 1 species
GUGAUAAUGGCCGCAGUAUUGUGACUGUGCGAAGGUAGCAUAAUUAAUUGCCUUAUAAUUGAAGGCUUGUUUGAAUGGUUUGACGCGGUGAUUAUGAAUAUUUACUUUUUUAUUGAAUUUGGUUUGGAGUGCACAGAACCCUCCAUUUUUAAUUAGACGGAAAGACCCCAGGAUCUUUUAUUUUUGUCUGGGGCGGAUGAAAAUAUUUCAUUUUUAUUUUGACCCUUAUUGGUUUAAUGGUUUAAGUUACCCUGGGGAUAACAGUGUAAUAAUUUAUUAGAGACCUUAUCGAAUAAAUUGUUUGCUACCUCGAUGUUGACUUAAGU